rnacentral:rRNA from 1 species
GAUGAACGCUAGCUACAGGCUUAACACAUGCAAGUCGAGGGGUAACGAGAGGAAAGCUUGCUUUCCUUGUCGACGACCGGCGCACGGGUGAGUAACGCGUAUCCAACCUGCCCCCAACUAGGGAAUAACCUUGCGAAAGUAAGACUAAUACCCUAUAAUUUCCUCAGAUGUCAUCUGACGAGGAAUAAAGAUUUAUCGGUUGUGGAUGGGGAUGCGUCUGAUUAGCUUGUUGGCGGGGUAACGGCCCACCAGGGCAACGAUCAGUAGGGGUUCUGAGAGGAAGGUCCCCCACAUUGGAAAUGAGACACGGUCCAAACUCCUACGGGAGGCAGCAGUGAGGAAUAUUGGUCAAUGGGCGGAAGCCUGAGCCAGCCAAGUAGCGUGCAGGAUGACGGCCCUAUGGGUUGUAAACUGCUUUUAUACAGGAAUAAAGUUAGCCACGUGUGGUUAUUUGUAGGUACUGUAUGAAUAAGGACCGGCUAAUUCCGUGCCAGCCGCCGCAGUAA